rnacentral:rRNA from 1 species
CAGCAGCCGCGGGAAAACCGAGGGUGCGAGCGUUAAUCGGAUUUACUGGGCGUAAAGCGCACGUAGGCGGACUUUUAAGUCAGGGGUGAAAUCCCGGGGCCCAACCCCGGAACUGCCUUUGAUACUGGAAGUCUUGAGUAUGGGAGAGGUGAGUGGAAUUUCCGGUGUAGCGGUGAAAUGCGUAGAUAUCGGAAGGAACACCAGUGGCGAAAGCGGCUCACUGGACCAUAACUGACGCUGAGGCACGAAAGCUAGGGGAGCAAACAGGAUUAGAUACCCGCGUAGUCCCUGUCUCUUAUAC